rfam:TPA: Bos taurus chromosome 17, whole genome shotgun sequence.
UCCUUGGUGGUCAAGUGGCUAAGACUCCGCACUCCCAAUACAGGAGGCCAGGGUUCGAUCCCUGGUAAGGAA